AGUAAGGUAAGCUAAUUAAGCUAUCGGGCCCAUACCCCGAAAACGUUGGUUUCAAUCCUUCCCAUACUA
rfam:Dipodomys ordii ctg_broad_rename0002522, whole genome shotgun sequence.